rnacentral:tRNA from 1 species
GCCGACGUCGGCGGGUCGGCCGGGCCGAUUGCGGAUCGGCCGGAGCUGGUGGUGGGCGGGCCGGUCGAAGCCGGCCGCGGGCC